rnacentral:rRNA from 1 species
CGGGGGGCAGCAGUGGGGAAUUUUGGACAAUGGGCGAAAGCCUGAUCCAGCAAUGCCGCGUGUGGGAAGAAGGCCUUCGGGUUGUAAACCACUUUUGUACGGAACGAAAAGGUCUGCCCUAAUACGGUGGGCCCAUGACGGUACCGUAAGAAUAAGCACCGGCUAACUACGUGCCAGCAGCCGCGGUAAUACGUAGGGUGCGAGCGUUAAUCGGAAUUACUGGGCGUAAAGCGUGCGCAGGCGGUUAUAUAAGACAGUUGUGAAAUCCCCGGGCUCAACCUGGGAAUUGCAUCUGUGACUGUAUAGCUAGAGUACGGUAGAGGGGGAUGGAAUUCCGCGUGUAGCAGUGAAAUGCGUAGAUAUGCGGAGGAACACCGAUGGCGAAGGCAAUCCCCUGGACCUGUACUGACGCUCAUGCACGAAAGCGUGGGGAGCAAACAGGAUUAGAUACCCGAGU